GAACAGCUGAGGUAGCGUUCAGUUUCAGCCCCAGUGCCAUUAUGAUGGAUGUUUACAUCUCUUCAUUGAGAGCCAAUUAUCUCGCUUUUGUGUGAGGCCCCAGGAUCACUCAUGCUGCCAGGCUGCACACAGCACUGUUGGAUCUAGCUGAACGAAUUGUUUUCCCUGUCUCUGUCAUAGCAGAAAGAAAUUGUCCUGGAAUUCACGAACAAACCACCAAGGCCAUGGAGGUACAACUGUGAGACCUGACAGCCCAAAGGGAGAUUAAAGGUCCCACUCCUUGAAACACAGCAAGACUGUCCCCUAUCAAAGGCUGCACCUUUGGAGUCCUUGUAAUAAAG
rnacentral:lncRNA from 1 species